rnacentral:lncRNA from 1 species
CUCUGCCUGCCUCUCUCCAGCUUGGACUGCUUGUCAUCAAAUUGUCCCUGGUGCCAAGAAGGAGAGGAAAGAGGAACCCUCUACCAAUAAUAAGAAACAAAAACAUAAUACGUCUACUUCACAGCCAAGAGGGAAGAGGAUGAGGUCUAAUCAGAGCUGUAGCCACCAGCCUACUCCAGAGCCAUAGCAACACCAGAUCCGAGCCACGUCUGCGAUCUACACCAAAGCUCACGGCAACACCAGAUCCUUAACCCACUGAGCAAGGCCAGGGAUCGAACCUGCAACCUCAUGGUUCCUAGUCAGAUUCGUUAACCACUGAGCCAUGACGGGAACUCCUGUGCUGUAUUUUAAAUUAUAGAAAGUUUAGAUAGGUACAGAAACUGUCUAGAGGGAAAUAUUGACUGUUUUAAAAUUUGUUAUUGAGACUCCUUGCCUAUGUAACAUAACAAGCAGCAACCUUGAACCAUGAGCUAUGGGUUAGGUGUACACAAGGCCAUGGUGUUCGUGGAGGCAGGUGCUUCUGUGUACACUUUGGACUCCCCAAGUAGGUCAGGCUACUGCAGGGAUUGUUCUGUUUUGCAGCACAAGGGCAAUUUGGUCGAUAAGGGAGUCAAAGCCUCACCUGAUGCACUACAGUCUCCUGGCAAAUUCAGGUCACUGUAUUAUGAAAAUGCACUGCAGUGUCCUUUUUGGUUGGACUGUACAAAAAUUGUUGCAACCAGAUGUCUAUAACAGAGAAAAAUAGUCCAGUGGCCAGGCAACCCAGAAUUGUAAAGGGUAUUGCCCAUGUUUGUAACAUUUGUCCAGGAAUGGAUGAUGAUUUGAAAAGAUACGGAGGAAUGU